GUCUACUACCGAAUCACCAUGAAUGCACCAGAUAUCAUUGGAUUUCAGAAGCUUAACAGAGUUGAGCCUGGUAAACACGGAGACGGGUGACCACCACCAGGCCUUGCCAGGUGCUGUAGGCA
rnacentral:rRNA from 1 species